GGCAGCGUGGCGCAGUGGUUUGAGUGCUGGACUACAACUCUAGAGACCCGGGUUCGAAUCCUCGCUCAGCCA